UGCCUGGUAGUGGGGGAUAACGUCCGGAAACGGACGCUAAUACCGCAUACGUCCUACGGGAGAAAGCAGGGGACCUUCGGGCCUUGCGCUAUCAGAUGAGCCUAGGUCGGAUUAGCUAGUUGGUGGGGUAAUGGCUCACCAAGGCGACGAUCCGUAACUGGUCUGAGAGGAUGAUCAGUCACACUGGAACUGAGACACGGUCCAGACUCCUACGGGAGGCAGCAGUGGGGAAUAUUGGACAAUGGGCGAAAGCCUGAUCCAGCCAUGCCGCGUGUGUGAAGAAGGUCUUCGGAUUGUAAAGCACUUUAAGUUGGGAGGAAGGGCAGUAAAUUAAUACUUUGCUGUUUUGACGUUACCGACAGAAUAAGCACCGGCUAACUCUGUGCCAGCAGCCGCGGUAAUACAGAGGGUGCAAGCGUUAAUCGGAAUUACUGGGCGUAAAGCGCGCGUAGGUGGUUCGUUAAGUUGGAUGUGAAAUCCCCGGGCUCAACCUGGGAACUGCAUUCAAAACUGACGAGCUAGAGUAUGGUAGAGGGUGGUGGAAUUUCCUGUGUAGCGGUGAAAUGCGUA
rnacentral:rRNA from 1 species